GAGAAGAACGUAGCGAAAUGCGAUAAGUAAUGUGAAUUGCAGAAUUCAGUGAAUCAUCGAAUCUUUGAACGCACAUUGCGCCCCCUGGUAUUCCGGGGGGCAUGCCUGUUCGAGCGUCAUUUCACCACUCAAGCCUCGCUUGGUAUUGGGCAACGCGGUCCGCCGCGUGCCUCAAAUCGACCGGCUGGGUCUUCUGUCCCCUAAGCGUUGUGGAAACUUUCGCUAAAGGGUGUUCGGGAGGCUACGCCGUAAAACAACCCCAUUUCUAAGGUUGACCUCGGAUCAGGUAGGGAUACCCGCUGAACUUAAGCAUAUCAAUAAGCGGAGGA
rnacentral:misc_RNA from 1 species